AUUGAACGCUGGCGGCAGGCCUAACACAUGCAAGUCGAGCGGAGCGGCGGACGGGUGAGUAAUACCUAGGAAUCUGCCAGGUAGUGGGGGAGAACGUUCGGUAACGGACGCUAUUACCGCAUACUAUCACAUGAAGAUGGGGCGGAUUAGCUUGAUGGUGGGGUAGUGGCUCACCAAGGCUACGACCCGUAACUGGUCUGAGAGGAUGAUCAGUCACACUGGAACUGAGACACGGGCCAGACUCCUACGGGAGGCAGCAGUGGGGAAUAUUGGACAAUGGGCGAAAGCCUGAUCCAGCCAUGCCGCGUGUGUGAAGAAGGUCUUCGGAUUGUAAAGCACUUUAAGUUGGGAGGCGUUACCGACAGAAUAAGCACCGGCUAACUCUGUGCCAGCAGCCGCGGUAAUAC
rnacentral:rRNA from 1 species